ACCUGGACACACCUGGGGACACCUGGACACACCUGGGGACACCUGAGCUCACCUGGGGUCACCUGGACACACCUGAGCUCACCCAAAUCCCCAGAGUGAGCCCUGAGCCUCAGGUGUGACCCCAGGAAUGUCCAAUUGUCCCCAGGUGUGUCCCCAGGUGUGACCCCAGGUGUGACCCCAGGAAUAUCCAAUUGUGUGACCCCAGGAAUGUCCAAUUGUCCCCAGGUGUGUCCCAGGUGUGUCCCUGACCUUCACAGGUGUGUCCCCACAUCCCCAGGGGUGUCCCCAUAUCUCCAGGUGUCUCCAGGUGUGUCCACAGGUGUGUCCCAGGUGUCCCCAGGUGUGUCCCCAGGUGUGUCCCAGGUGUCCCCAUGUCCUCAGGUGUCCUCAGGUGUGUCCCCACGUGCCCAGGAUGCACUCAGGUGUGCCCAGGUGUUUCCCUGUCAUUCCCAGGUGUGUCCCCAUGUCCCCAGGUGUGUCCCCACGUCUCCAGGGGUGUCCCAGGUGUAUCCCCAUAUCCCCAACUGUCCCCAGGUGUCCCCACGUGUCCCCAGGUGAGACUCACGCUGUGCAGGUUGUUGUAGAAGUCCACGCUCCCGGCGCACAGGUAGCGGCCUAGCAGGGUGGCGUGCGUGGUGAAGAUGGUGGCCACGGGCAAGCGCCGGGCGCGGC